ensembl:ncRNA F25F2.6 ncRNA
AUGAAGAAGAAGAAGAUGAAAAAGUUGUGGUGAGAAGAAGAAGAAGGAAAGAAGAAGACGUUGUUGUAGAAGAAUGAAUGGGUGAAGAGAUGAAGACGGCGGCGGUUGUGUGUGUGGCCUUCCAAAAGAGCCCUCUGACCGCCAUGUGCUCUUUUUCUCUGUGUGCUC